rnacentral:rRNA from 1 species
AGUGAACGCUGGCGGUAGGCCUAACACAUGCAAGCCGAACGGCAGCACAGUAAGAGCUUGCUCUUACGGGUGGCGAGUGGCGGACGGGUGCGGAAUACAUCGGAAUCUACUUUUUCGUGGGGGAUAACGUAGGGAAACUUACGCUAAUACCGCAUACGACCUACGGGUGAAAGCAGGGGAUCUUCGGACCUUGCGCGAUUGAAUGAGCCGAUGUCGGAUUAGCUAGUUGGCGGGGUAAAGGCCCACCAAGGCGCCGAUCCGUAGCUGGUCUGAGAGGAUGAUCAGCCACACGGGAACUGAGACACGGUCCAGACUCCUACGGGAGGCAGCAGUGGGGAAUAUUGGACAAUGGGCGCAAGCCUGAUCCAGCCAUACCGCGUGGGUGAAGAAGGCCUUCGGGUUGUAAAGCCCUUUUGUUGGGAAAGAAAAGCAGCAGGUUAAUACCCCGCUGUUCUGACGGUACCCAAAGAAUAAGCACCGGCUAACUUCGUG